GACAGAGGGUGCAAACGUUGUUCGGAAUUACUGGGCGUAAAGCGCGUGUAGGCGGCUAUGUAAGUCGGGCGUGAAAUCCCACGGCUCAACCGUGGAAGUGCACCCGAAACUGCGUAGCUAGAGUCCUGGAGAGGAAGGUGGAAUGCUUGGUGCAGAGGUGAAAUUCGUAGAUAUCAAGCGGAACACCGGUGGCGAAGGCGGCCUUCUGGACAGUGACUGACGCUGAGACGCGAAAGCCAGGGGAGCAAACGGG
rnacentral:rRNA from 1 species